rnacentral:rRNA from 1 species
UACGGGGGGAGCAAGCGUUGUUCGGCAUUCCUGGGCGUAAAGCGCGCGCAGGCGGUCCUUCAAGUCAGAGGUGAAAGCCCAGAGCUCAACUCUGGAACGGCCUUUGAGACUAGAGGACUUGGGUACGGGAGAGGUGAGUGGAAUUCCGAGUGUAGAGGUGAAAUUCGUAGAUAUUCGGAAGAACACCAGUGGCGAAGGCGGCUCACUGGCCCGUUACCGACGCUCAGGCGCGACAGCGUGGGGAGCAAACAGG